AGAGUUUGAUCCUGGCUCAGAGCGAACGUUAGCGGCACGCCUAACACAUGCAAGUCGCACGAGAAAGGGAGCAAUCCUGAGUAGAGUGGCGCACGGGUGCGUAACACGUAGAUAACCUGCCCUUUGGAGGGGGAUAACGUUCCGAAAGGAGCGCUAAUACCGCAUAAAGCUAUUUCCGGUUUGCCGGAGAUUGACAAAGGUAGGGACCCGCAAGGGCCUACCGCCGGAGGAGGGGUCUGCGGCCCAUCAGCUAGUUGGGGAGGUAAUGGCUCACCAAGGCAGAGACGGGUAGCUGGUCUGAGAGGAUGAUCAGCCACACUGGUACUGGAACACGGACCAGACUCCUACGGGAGGCAGCAGUGGGGAAUCUUGGUCAAUGGGCGCAAGCCUGAACCAGCGAUGCCGCGUGAGUGAUGAAGGCCUUCGGGUUGUAAAGCUCUGUGGGGCGAGACGAAAAAGCGGGUUCUAACAGGACCUGACAUUGACGGUAUCGCCUUAGCAAGCACCGGCUAACUCUGUGCCAGCAGCCGCGGUAAGACAGAGGGUGCAAACGUUGCUCGGAAUCACUGGGCGUAAAGGGCGUGUAGGCGGGAGAGAAAGUCGGGCGUGAAAUCCCUAGGCUCAACCUAGGAACUGCACUCGAAACUUCUCUUCUUGAGUGCCGGAGAGGAAAGCGGAAUUCCUGGUGUAGAGGUGAAAUUCGUAGAUAUCAGGAGGAACACCAGUGGCGAAGGCGGCUUUCUGGACGGUAACUGACGCUGAGACGCGAAAGCGUGGGGAGCAAACAGGAUUAGAUACCCUAGUAGUCC
rnacentral:rRNA from 1 species